CGGCAGGCUUAACACAUGCAAGUCGAGCGGACCUUUCGGGGUCAGCGGCGGACGGGUGAGUAACGCGUGGGAACGUGCCUUCCGGUUCGGAAUAACCCUGGGAAACUAGGGCUAAUACCGGAUACGCCCUUAUGGGGAAAGGUUUACUGCCGGAAGAUCGGCCCGCGUCUGAUUAGCUAGUUGGUGGGGUAACGGCCUACCAAGGCGACGAUCAGUAGCUGGUCUGAGAGGAUGAUCAGCCACACUGGGACUGAGACACGGCCCAGACUCCUACGGGAGGCAGCAGUGGGGAAUAUUGGACAAUGGGCGCAAGCCUGAUCCAGCCAUGCCGCGUGAGUGAUGAAGGCCUUAGGGUUGUAAAGCUCUUUUAUCCGGGACGAUAAUGACGGUACCGGAGGAAUAAGCCCCGGCUAACUUCGUGCCAGCAGCCGCGGUAAUACGAAGGGGGCUAGCGUUGCUCGGAAUCACUGGGCGUAAAGGGCGCGUAGGCGGCGUUUUAAGUCGGGGGUGAAAGCCUGUGGCUCAACCACAGAAUGGCCUUCGAUACUGGGACGCUUGAGUAUGGUAGAGGUUGGUGGAA
rnacentral:rRNA from 1 species